GAAAACAAAGCAAGGUCAGGAUUUUAAUUUAGCAAAGACCAAAGUCCUAGUAAGUAGGGAAACAGACAAAUCACUGAUCCCUUCAGGGAGAUAGCUCUACU